GCUGGCAGCGAGAGCACGUUGAAUACAUCAGUUUCCAAUGGUUCACUAAGGUUAAGCAACGAUGUGCGUGGUUGGUAACCAUGUGGACAAUCGCGUGCUGUUGGCU
rfam:Asian citrus Psyllid, Diaphorina citri - Florida Strain, whole genome shotgun sequence.